rnacentral:rRNA from 1 species
GAUGAACGCUAGCUAUAGGCUUAACACAUGCAAGUCGAGGGGAAACGGCAUUAUGUGCUUGCACAUUUUGGACGUCGACCGGCGCACGGGUGAGCAUCGCGUAUCCAACCUGCCCUUUACUUGGGGAUACCCCGUUGAAAGACGGCCUAAUACCCGAUGUAAUUCAUUGAUGGCAUCAGAUAUGAAUAAAAGAUUUAUCGGUAAAGGAUGGGGAUGCGUCUGAUUAGCUUGUUGGUGAGGUAACGGCUCACCAAGGCGACGAUCAGUAGGGGUUCUGAGAGGAAGGUCCCCCACAUUGGAACUGAGACACGGUCCAAACUCCUACGGGAGGCAGCAGUGAGGAAUAUUGGUCAAUGGGCGCAAGCCUGAACCAGCCAAGUAGCGUGCAGGAAGACGGCCCUAUGGGUUGUAAACCGCUUUUAUACGAGAAUAAUUUGAUGCACGUGUGCGUUAUUGCAUGUAUCGUAUGAAUAAGGACCGGCUAAUUCCGUG